rnacentral:rRNA from 1 species
GACGAACGCUGGCGGCGUGCUUAACACAUGCAAGUCGAACGGAAAGGCCCUGCUUUUGUGUGGUUCUCGAGUGGCGAACGGGUGAGUAACACGUGUGUAACCUGCCCUUGACUUUGGGAUAACUUCAGGAAACUGGGGCGAAUACCCGAUAGGAGCUCCUGCUGCAUGUUGGGGGUUGGAAAGUGUCGGCGGUUGGGGAUGGACUCGCGGCUUAUCAGCUUGUUUGUGGGGUAGUGGCUUACCAAGGCUUUGACGGGUAGCCGGCAUGAGAGGGUGACCGGCCACAUUGGGACUGAGAUACGGCCCAGACGCGUACGGGAGGCAGCAGUGGGGAAUAUUGCACAAUGGGCGGAAGCCUGAUGCAGCAACGCCGCGUGCGGGAUGACGGCCUUCGGGUUGUAAACCGCUUUCGCCGGUGACGAAGCGUGAGUGACGGUAAUGGGUAAAGAAGCACCGGCUAACUACGUG